GAUGAUGUGUAUGUUGGAUGUGAAAGGACCCCGGUACUUAUUUCCACUUGUAAUGUAAUAUAGCUACAGACUGUCACCAUAGUAAUGAUCGACUGGUGUUGUUUGUUUCCACUGUUCUUAGUAUCAUUGUUACAGCUUUUUUGUCUCCUGAAAAAAAACUUCUAUGUUAGUGGCAGAGCACAGUAUUAUUUUGUGUUUUUCAUUGCUGAUUUGUUUAAUUUUCAUUCACUGUACCAGUAUUCACCUCGAGAGACUGAUGAAAAUCAUUGAACACUUCAGAUGGUAGCCAACUAACAUUUAAACUGAAAAGUUCCUGAAUUAAAGUAUAGUAUGUUACUGCUGCACCAACCUACUUGCUACAGUUAGUACAGAAAUUAGUUUUGACUGUUAUUAUAAUAAAGCUUCCUAUUAUUAAAAAUGUUCACAAAUUAAGUUUCUCUUUCUGUAUUGCAAGAGUGACUGUGCAGAUUCCCAUAAGCAAUUUACUCCAUUCCACUGUUUUCACUGCUAUUCUGCAGAUGUGGUAAAAUGAGCAAACUUCAUGCACUGGGUAUGGUACACUAUUAAAUAUAAUUAUUGCAGAAACAGGCAAACAGAAAUUAUAAUUUUCACGCCAGCUCAUGGGUUAGUAGUCAGCCACUAUAUUCUGCAUUGCAGCAUUUAGUAACUUAAUGAAUCAGAGUGUAAUACAGAAGUAGGUUACAAAAUAACUGUGCUGUGCCAUUGUAGGAUUAUAUCUUUCCAGGUUUUGUACAGUGAUAUCAUCGAAACAACAUAUCUAAAUGUUUGUACUGCCUUUAUGUGGUUUUUCAUUUUCCUAAGAAAUAGAGAAAUCAUGUACAUUAUACUGUGCUGUCCAUGUUGUCUUCAUAUUGCAUAUUCUUUUUUCUUUGUAGUGUUGACCAAGUACAUUAUAAUACCAGUUUUUACAUUUUAAUACAUUUUAUAAUAGAAACCAUGUAUAUUCUUACUAAAAAUUAAAUGUCUGUAUCACAUGACUUCCUAAGGGUCUUAUUCUGCCACCUCUCAGACACUUGAGAUGUCUAUGUAGUCAAAAAUUUUCGUAUUUUAUUUAAGUUAGUUAUUUGUUUAAAUGUUGUAAGAUAAACUUACUGGUAACAACAAUGCAGUUUUCUGUAUCAGUGUUUUUUUCUGGAAACGUGAGCUACUGGUACUUAGAUGUGACAGAGUAGGGAGGGGGACAGAAUGAACCAAUGUAAAAAUUACAUGGUUCCUGGGAAAGGGAAGAAACAUCAACAUAAAAAUUAAUAUGUUAACAAGCAUCACAUCAGUUUUAAUUACAUUGAUCAAUUUUAUAACAAAGGUAAAAAAAGAAAUAAAGUAAAGCUGUCCCACUAUAGGCAUGUAGGUGCUUGGAGGGAAUGGUGGUACAGCUCCUACUCAUUCUUGACUUCAGCACUAGAUGGGGUUGAGGGGUCAGCAUCACACCCCAGCCAUGCUUUACCCCCAGUAAAGGACCCUGGUACCCAUUGGAUAGGAGGCUGGGUGGGCCACAGAACCGGUCUUGAUGCAGAGGCUAGAGGAAAAAUCCUCUGCCUCUGUCGGGGAUCAAACCCCAGUCAUCCAGUCUGUAGCCAGUUACUAUAUUGACUGAGCUACGCCAGCUCCUCUAGGUAUUGGCACAAUUUUCUGUGUCCUGUUGUGUACCAUCAGAAAGAAAGCCAUGUUUAAUAUUGCCUAAUCAUUGUUUACAACUUAACAGAAUUAAAUUUGUUAUUCUCUGCCUGAUAAAUAUCAGUAUUACACCAUCUUACACUUGCCUGUUGAAACAUAUUUGUGGGUUUCCAAAAAAGAGAAGUAAUAUCUGAUUAUAUUAAGGGUUAAAUGGCCAGGUACUGUAUCCUGUAAAGUAGAGCAACACACCCUUCCACCUCCUACUGCAGAUUUCUUACUUUAUUUGAUAAAAUUUUGAAAUUCUGACAUUUUAAUUGCCAGUUUUAUAAACCAACAAUGAAACAUGGGCUUGUAGGAAACCACAUGGUCAUAUUUUAACAGUUAAAUUCUAGAAAUAGUAUAAACUGACUUACACAUACAAAAUCUCAGUGUUAACAUAAAUUCCUCAUCUUCUCAUUAAUUAAAGAGAAUUCAUGUAUCUAUACUCCGUCUUGUGAGUAACGGAUGUACUCUCACUUUUUCUGAAUUUCCACUACCCACUAUAAUAUCAUCAGUGAUUGGUAAUGUAAUUGGUUAUUUGGUGAUAUAAAAUUAAUUGAGCAUGUCCCAUGAUCCAUGUCUUCAUAUUUGUCUCCCUCGUUUAAAUGUGCCUUAUACAUUUUAUUAUUUAUGUAUUACCAGAUUUGAUUAAUGUCAUAUACAUGGAGGUGUUUGAAGUUCGAUCAGAGUAUCAAGACUGAAUCUGUAUCUCAAAUAAAUAUGUCAUGACAUGUUUCUGAAGGUCCAGGCAUGUUUAUGGCUGAUUCCAUUGCUUCUGUAUUUAAAGUCAGUGUUUUUGGUAUGUAUAGGUUUAACAAUGCCCAAGAAAAUAGAACAGUACAUAUUCGUUAAUGUUUGCAAGAAGAUUUAAAGCACACUAACUGAAACUAAAUAGCCUAUGCUAACAGCAUUUGGAAAUGUAAGCAUGAGCUUUUGAGUAGUUUCAUUUUAAAGACAGGCAAUGUCCAUUCAAAGUGAUGAGCAUUCUGGAUGCCCUUCAGUCAGUAGAAGUGAUGAAUCAUCAUCUCAAUUAUGGGAUGUAGCACAAAAUGGCAUAAGAGGUAUGAAUUUCUUAUAGCUCAUGUGAGGCCAACUUACCAAGAGACUAGAAAAUGUGGAAUGUCUCAUCCACCUUCACUUUACAACUGCUAAUGUAGAAAUAGAAAUAAACUGGUUGUCUGUGGCUUCUGACCUGUCUGAAUAUGCAGAAUUUAGUUAAAACUUCAUUUAAAAUUUUGGGAAGAGGCUAAGCAAAAAUCCUCACAAUGGACAUUCCACACAAGGUUCACAGCUGAAAGUUGUAUUUGAUUACAAAUGUGUUGUGCACUAUAAAUGUGCUCCAUAUGAAAAAAAAAAUUAUUUACAAGUUUUGUAUGCACCACAUUGUAAAUGGCUUGAAAGUGGGAAUCUGAAACAUGGCAAAUUCAUGACAAUAAUGCAGCUACCCUCUCAGCACAGUAAACACAGUAUUUUAAGUGACACAGCCUCCAUACUGUCUGCUGCUUUUCUCUGUUCCUCUUGUUGUUUGAGAAGUGCAUACAGCACUGGCAGGAACAGUGGAAUAAGUAUUUACAUGCUGAAGGAGCCUUCUUUGAAGUAAAUAAAUCUCCUAUCCAUAUAAAACUGGUAACAGUAUUUCAGUUUUUAGAGAUUCAGCCUCAGUACUUCUGAUCAAGCCUUGUAAAAGAAUUUGUAGGCAAUAUGUAAUUUCU